GACGUAGGGCGCGAGCGUUGUCCGGAUUUAUUGGGCGUAAAGAGCUCGUAGGCGGCUUGUCGCGUCGAAUGUGAAAUCUCAGGGCUCAACUCUGACAUUGCAUUCGAUACGGGCAGGCUAGAGUUCGGUAGGGGAGACUGGAAUUCCUGGUGUAGCGGUGAAAUGCGCAGAUAUCAGGAGGAACACCAGUGGCGAAGGCGGCUUACUGGUCCGGUUCUGACGCUGAGGCGCGAAAGCGUGGGGAGCGAACAGG
rnacentral:rRNA from 1 species